GACGAACGCUGGCGGCGUGCUUAACACAUGCAAGUCGAACGGAAAGGCCCUGCUUUUGUGGGGUGCUCGAGUGGCGAACGGGUGAGUAACACGUGAGUAACCUGCCCUUGACUUUGGGAUAACUUCAGGAGACUGGGGCUAAUACCGGAUAGGAGCUCCUGCUGCAUGGUGGGGGUUGGAAAGUUUCGGCGGUUGGGGAUGGACUCGCGGCUUAUCAGCUUGUUGGUGGGGUAGUGGCUUACCAAGGCUUUGACGGGUAGCCGGCCUGAGAGGGUGACCGGCCACAUUGGGACUGAGAUACGGCCCAGACUCCUACGGGAGGCAGCAAUGGGGAAUAUUGCACAAUGGGCGGAAGCCUGAUGCAGCAACGCCGCGUGCGGGAUGACGGCCUUCGGGUUGUAAACCGCUUUCGCCUGUGACGAAGCGUGAGUGACGGUAAUGGGUAAAGAAGCACCGGCUAACUACGUG
rnacentral:rRNA from 1 species